AGUAAAAUGCCUGAAAAAGGGCCAUUUUGAUAGAAUGAAACAUGUAAUAAUAUUACUUUUACUA
rnacentral:tRNA from 1 species